ACUAGGUAAGCAUUAAUAAUUGUUGUAAGUACAUCGUUUGAUGCAUAGAUGAUUGAUAGAUGAUAGAUAAUUGAUUGAUUAUUUGAGAAAUGAUAAAUAUAGAUUGAUUAAUUGAUAGAUGAUAGUUGCACCUCAUCACAAUUAAAGCUGUGUGUUGGUGAUAUUAGCAGAGAGUUGGAAUUGGUUAGGUUAUUUAACAACUUAACAAUCAAAAUUUACUUUCUUUUUCUGAAGUUAAAUUCCUGAGUGUUUCCCAGAGGGUUCCUGGCGGUGCAGAACAGGUGUGGCUGGGCUGAGCUGGGCAGGCUUCCCUAGAGAGGGGCUCAGGGAGGAAGAGGAGGGAAGCCAGUGGAGAGAACCCACUUGCUCUCAGCUUGUAAACCUCAACAGACCCCUCUUCCUCUAGAAGGGACUCCCCUUUGGUGACCUCUGUCCCCCGGGUCAUUUCUGCCCUGCUGGCACCAAGGACCCCAGGCAGUGGCUCUGCCCGGCUGGCACCUGGAAUGCAGAGAGAGGGGCACAGGACAUAAGCUGGUGCCUGCCUCGCCCACCUGGGCUCUUCUGUGCCACCACAGGCCAGGCUGCCCCUGGGGGCCCGUAUGCACCAGGUUUCCACUGCCCAGGAGGGGCGCAGACCCCGACACCCCUUGGUGGGCUGUGGGGACACUUCGAGGGCUCCCUGGCGGCCACACCUCGGCAAGACGGGGAGCACAGCUACGGCACAGGCUGAGAGACCCACCAGGGGAGGACCUGCUCCCCAGGUCAUUACUGCCCCCAGGGCACUAGCCACCUCCCUAGGCCCUGUCCUCCAGGCGUGUCCAGUCCCUGGGAGGACCGAAGCCAGGCCCACAGCUGCCCGCCAUGUCCUGCAGGUGAGGAGGGGGGGCAAGGCUGUGCGGUGGGGCCCAAGGGACUCAGCUCCUGGAAAACCUCUUUUGCUGUCCCAGGGCCCAGAGGUCUGUGAUGCGAGGUAGAGGGCAGGGCCUUUGGGCGGAGUCAGAACCCACUUCCUGACUGUGGGAAAUCCCUUAACUCGGGAAUCCUGAGUUCUCCCCUCAGAUGAGAGCUGAGAUGAGCAUUAAAUAAGACUGAGCUCAGGAAGGGCAGUAAAGAAACACCUGUCCUGGAGGAGGCUGCAGAGCAGAAUAAGCCUGAGGAGAGGCAGGGCUGGACGUGGACCCCACCGCCACGAUGGCCCCUCCCGCAGGGCAGGCGAGCGGCAGGGACGGAGGGCAUAACAGAGAAAGGUAGGAUCCAGUCUCUGCAGGGUCUCUGACAUGCAGGAAAUGUCCCAUCUCUGCUGGUGCCUGGCCAAGGCUUCCACGCUGCCCAAAAGAUGAGAGCAGCAUCAGGACAGCUUUCCUGGAGAAGUUAAGGGCUGAGCUAAAGAAGGAGGAUCAUAAAAAGGUCAAUUGGAGGGUGCUGGGCUGGAGGAGCUUUAGGAGCAGGACUUCCCACAUGUCCUUGCAGCCACAAGAGGCAGCCUGG